rnacentral:rRNA from 1 species
UACGGGGGGGGCAAGCGUUGUUCGGAAUUACUGGGCGUAAAGGGCUCGUAGGUGGCCAACUAAGUCAGACGUGAAAUCCCUCGCUUAACCGGGGAACUGCGUCUGAUACUGGAUGGCUUGAGUUUGGGAUGAGGGAGUGCGGAAUUCCAGGUGUAGCGGUGAAAUGCGUAGAUAUCUGGAGGAACACCGGUGGCGAAGGCGGCAUCCUGGACCAACACUGACACUGAGGAGCGAAAGCCAGGGGAGCAAACGGG